rnacentral:rRNA from 1 species
UACGUAGGGUGCGAGCGUUUGUCCGGAAUUACUGGGCGUAAAGAGCUCGUAGGUGGUUUGUCGCGUUGUUCGUGAAAACUCACAGCUCAACUGUGGGCGUGCGGCGAUACGGGCAGACUGGAGUACUGCAGGGGAGACUGGAAUUCCGUGGUGUAGCGGUGGAAUGCGCAGAUAUCAGGAAGAACACCAAUGGCGAAAGCAGCUCUCUGGGACGGUACUGGACGCUGAGACGCGAAAGCCGUGGGGAGCGAACAGG